rnacentral:rRNA from 1 species
UACGUAGGGUGCGAGCGUUGUCCGGAAUUAUUGGGCGUAAAGAGCUUGUAGGCGGUUUGUCGCGUCUGCUGUGAAAAUCCGGGGCUCAACUCCGGACUUGCAGUGGGUACGGGCAGACUAGAGUGUGGUAGGGGAGACUGGAAUUCCUGGUGUAGCGGUGGAAUGCGCAGAUAUCAGGAGGAACACCGAUGGCGAAGGCAGGUCUCUGGGCCACUACUGACGCUGAGGAGCGAAAGCGUGGGGAGCGAACAGG